GUGAGCAACUGGGUCUCUCAGUUCUUUGGGAGCACCCUGGGAAACAGUGUGGCUAUGACUUGGAGCUGCUCACCAGUUCCAGUCAUUCUGUGGUUGAGAGCUGCUCCCUAUGGAUGUUAAUUCUUCUCUAUUUUAGAUUUUCCACAGGUGUGGGCCCCAUUAGCUCUGGCCACCUGAGAAAGCCCUCAGGCAAAGAGUCGCAGGUGAAAGCCAGCAGUUAGAGGUUCACAGAAAUGAGUGCAGAAGCAUCUUCAGUUGGAGAGCCAUUGCCUCUUGCUGUGAAAUAUUUGGGAAUCUUCAGAAACCAUGAAGAAUAACCUGCUAAAGCUUAUGUUGACACAUCGUUCUAGGAAGAAAACAGAACAUUUCUGCUCAUCAGUGUUUUGCAGUAAGAACUUGUGACCCCUAAUUGUCAAUAUAUCCUGUGGGACGGUAGGUUUUAUGCCUUAACAGAGGCCACAUCAGUGUGCCCUCUGCCCAAAUAGCCCUCUUCCCAUCACUUGAUGGGAUGACAUUGGCUAGGGCAUGACCAAUGGAAGAAGGCCAUUUUACCUUCUUCCCAUGUUGCUCACACACUUAAAUGUUCAGGGCUUUUCUGUGCUCUCAAGGCCACACUCCUCAACCAAAUAAGAAAGAA
rnacentral:lncRNA from 1 species